GCCCGGCGCGGCCCGGAGUCGGCCCAGCUCACGGCCGGGGAACCGGGCCGGUGCGCGCGGCGGCGGCUCAGCCCCGCCGCCGGGCUCC
rnacentral:tRNA from 1 species